UGGGGAAUAUUGCACAAUGGGGGAAACCCUGAUGCAGCGACGCCGCGUGAGCGAAGAAGGUUUUCGAAUCGUAAAGCUCUGUCCUAUGAGAAGAUAAUGACGGUAUCAUAGGAGGAAGCCCCGGCUAAAUACGUGCCAGCAGCCGCGGUAAUACGUAUGGGGCGAGCGUUGUCCGGAAUUAUUGGGCGUAAAGGGUACGUAGGCGGUCUAUUAAGUCAGGUGUGAAAGCGUGAGGCUUAACCUCAUUAAGCACUUGAAACUGAUAGACUUGAGUGAAGGAGAGGAAAGUGGAAUUCCUAGUGUAGCGGUGAAAUGCGUAGAUAUUAGGAGGAAUACCGGUGGCGAAGGCGACUUUCUGGACUUAUACUGACGCUAAGGUACGAAAGCGUGGGGAGCAAACAGG
rnacentral:rRNA from 1 species